ACUAUUGAUACUCUAACUUCUGAAUUACCACAGGUGCAUGCUGAAGGCGGAAAUGAAGCAUGAUCUGGCUUGCAUCUGGUCAUGAAGAAAUUGCUGACACGUUAGUUGCAGUCCACCUCCACCAACAGGGUGGAAAACAAAGGUCGCCAUUCCGAUUAGCUGCUAUCUCCCAGUUCAAGCACUUUUGUGUCUGGACACUGGUUCCUGUGGAUGGGGUGUUACAAGCUUCACUGUCUGAUAUAGAAGUGAUGAGCAUCCAUAAGGACACAUGCCAGAAAGGGAGUCUCUUUGGGAUGUCAAACCCUCAUCACCUCAUGAGGAUACAAUGGUUGACGAAUGGUUCUCAAGCACAUCGAAACUUCCAACAAAUAAUUCAUGAAAAAGCCAGUCAGUGCUAGCACCAGGAAUUGAACGUGGACCGUCCUGCUACCAGUCAGAGAUGUUACAUUUCAGGCGCUCAUUGACUUUUGGUGAAUUACUUGUUGACUUUGUCCCAAGGUGGAGCUCGCUACAGCUCAUUUGCUAUCUGUUAAUGUUGUGGCGUGUGUUGCGUUUUUCUCUUUGUGUGUUCCAGACUCAGAACGGUUAAUUUGGAUCAGGUCAGGUACGUUUCAUUUAGACAUGGCAAACAUAAAGUGGUGUUUCUCAACACAACUUAGCAGUGGUCUUCAUGCAUUACUGCUACGGCCAUUAAGCGUGAAUAGAAACCUGCACAUUAUCCAUGAUGUAAAACCCCAAGACUAGGGAACACGAAGGGACAGACACAAACAUGUCCCUUUGUGUUCCCUAGUCUCGGGGUUUUACAUAUGCAUCAUCUUCACCAGCUCACUUGCUUGCAGCCAUUUUUUCUGCACAUUAUGUCCA